UCGAGAAUCUUCCGCAAUGGGCGCAAGCCUGACGGAGCGACGCCGCGUGCGGGAUGAAGGCCUUCGGGUUGUAAACCGCUGUCAGUGGGGAGCAAAUCCCUAGGAGCUAUCUCCUAGGGUUGAGCGAUCCGCAGAGGAAGCGCAGGCUAAGUUCGUGCCAGCAGCCGCGGUAACACGAACUGCGCAAACGUUAUUCGGAAUCACUGGGCUUAAAGAGUCCGUAGGCGGCUUGGUAGGUGAGGUGUGAAAUCCCACGGCUCAACCGUGGAACUGCGCUUCAAACCACCAGGCUAGAGGGAGAUAGAGGAGAGCGGAACUGAUGGUGGAGCGGUGAAAUGCGUUGAUAUCAUCAGGAACACCGGUGGCGAAAGCGGCUCUCUGGGUCUCUUCUGACGCUGAGGGACGAAAGCUAGGGGAGCGAACGGGAUUAGAUACCCCGGUAGUCC
rnacentral:rRNA from 1 species